AUCAUGGGGUGAUGGUUGUGUAUUGGUUUUAGGGAUAUAGUACCCUUUUUUUGCCAAGGGAUAGUAUAGAUAGGGUGUGUGAAGGCAGCGCUUUCUAAUAUCACCCAUUGUGUGCUGUUUGUGGGUAUUGUCCAAUCAUAGAUUCUAGAAAGCAUGGCCGCUUGAUGGUAAAGUUCUAUGUCUGGGAGACUUAGGCCUCCUUGGUGUUUGUGUGCUGUUAGUAGUUUAAAUAGUAGUUGUGGGUGAUUGUGAGACCAGACAAAACGGGUGAAUUGUUUUUUAUUUUCUUUUUGGUAUUGCUAUAG